ensembl:lncRNA
AAGGGGUUGUGGAAGGUCUCUUCACUUGCAUUAGAAAUGAGUGGGCUUUGGCAACCCCAGAAAGCAGUCCAUGUGCACAUACAUCGGGUCUGUGGAUCCCAGACAUGGCCUCACUGCGCGCCUGCUGUACAUGGGUUGUUUUUGUGCCAUAUGAGCAUCUUUUGAUAUUUGGGAAAAACUUAGAAUGGAGUCACUGUGGUAUACAAACUCUGAAUUGAGGUGAAUUCUUUCUUCUAGUUUUGCUCCAAAUUGCAUGGAGCAUGGUCCAUGCCUGCAGCAAGGGAAGAGAAACUGGGCAAUGUGUUUGUUUAUGUUACAGAAGGUGCUGCCUGCUGUUGUACCCCUGUUAAGUCGUUUAAUACCUCCUCCAAUUUUCAUCUUUCCUUCCUCUCUCCUCUGUCAUGUGCUCGGCAUGGCCUGCAUGAAGAGGUUUGUAUGAUGGCUCUGCUGUUGUCAUCGCUGGUGCGUGAUCUGCAUCAUCUAGUUACAGCUAAAUGUUUACCAAGAUGAGAAGUCACAGUGUUCAAGAGUGACUGAGAGGUCAGUUUGACUAUUCCUAAUACUCUCUGCAAUCCUUGGGUUAAAUUCAAUUUGUUUUUCUAGAAUUUGUAACAUUAACAUUCAGGAAGACAUUUUUUCCUAAAUUCUAAGUCUAGAAAACUCUGGCUUUUUUAUCCCCUCCCCACAGAAAUAGGCUGCUAGCAUGCUGAUUUAUUACACUCAGAUCAUCAGUGAUUUCCAUUUCUCCGAUGGAAUCAAAUUCCACUGGAGUAAGUGUACUGUGAAGUGUAUAGCGUUCUUCCAACAACGUGUAUCUUCAGGCAUUAGAGAAGUAAUGAUUCUGAAACAAAACCAAGUGUAAGCCCCCACUGUGAAUGGGGAGGAAGCCAAGCAUGUUUCUGCUGAACUGACAAGCUUGGGAAGUCAAGAGACAGCUUAACUGAACAAUUGGUUCAUCGACUGGAUGAAGUCUUAAGUUACAUGAAUGACAAAACUACCAAUUAUUUAAAAAAAACCCACAAGGUAUUUCUUGCAGCAGAAGCAGCAUGUAGUAAUUAAGGGUUGGGCUGUCUUGUCUUCACAGCUGAAGAGAAGGACGAGACUCCAGUUCCAACCAACGCAACAUGGAUUAAUUGUACUUUCUCAUAAUGCAGCUUUAGAAAUGCUUCAUAUCUUACAUUUCACUUCAUGUUUUUACUUGGUUGUAAGCAACAGUUUGAAAAGAAUAAAUGCCUUAUAUCAGACAGAAAACAAAUCCUGUUCCUCCCCUCUAUCCCCCUUUCCUCCCUGUGGUUAUUGUUCUGCUUUACGUUAUUUUCCUGUGUUUGCAGGCAGGUUGCUAGUGAACAGACCAGAUAAGCAGAGUGAGAAGGCAGCAGCUGCAGCUCAGCAUCCCCACUGUUACAAGAGGAAUGCCGCCUAUAUGGUUUCUAUAAGCUGCCUUUAAAUACAAGACUCUCAGAAAAAUCCAGGAAACAGAAGAGUGGGAAGGUGCUGAGAGGGAAGUGGGAAGCUUAGAUCUGCUUACAGCUCUGCCCCGACCCUCUGACCUUCUGCAAGUCACUGCCACGCUCUGCCCUCCUAUACAUACCUUUGUCCUUAGUGCUGCUCUGACAGCACAAAGAGUAACCUGAGAGAUGUCCCAAGCAAAAGGAGAACCUUGUAAUCUAUGGGUUUAUCUUCAUUCCUCCUUAUCUACUUAAGCUUAUCUACUAUCUACUCAGUGCUACAGCUAGCUGUUUCCAGGGUUGACUGGAGAUCCCUUUAUUCUGUUUGUCUACCAAUCUAUGCUGCCCAAGGGGCCCCCAAGAGGUCUAUUACAUGCUUUUUUCACCUGAUUUUUGGAUCUCCUUGAAGUUUCAUAGUACUGUGUGCAACUUCAUGUAUGGAACUCUACUGAAGAUAAUAUGAUUUGUCUGGUUAUCCUGGAGCUUCAAGGUGUCGGUGGACAGAAAGUUAAAAAACCCAUUACUGUUUGGUGAGUUCUCAGCCUCGUUAGUGCUAUGAACUCACACGUGUGGGAAAUUCCAACACUUUUCUCUUUAAAUCUCACCACAAAGACAAGAAGAGCUCUCUCUUAUCCCUCCAUGCACUCUGUAUUCUGGUGAUUAUAUCUAAACAGUACCAUUCGGAAGUUUUAAAAUGUAAAUGAGACAGAGUGGUUUCAUUAUUGUGGGACUGUUUUCUUUUUCUUUCUUUCUGCAAAGCAAAGCCCUUGAAACAGACAGAAAACCCCAUGCCUGCUUCCUGCUAUUUUAUUCUUCAAAGCUGCAAAACUUCACCAGUCAUAAGGGAUUUAGGUAAUAGACAGGCAAAGAAAAGAGAGCAUGGCAUCUCUGUCAUUUUGCUACCAAUUAACUUUUGAUCCUCUUGUUGCUCAAAAACACGUUUUAAAUUAGAGAUGCGGUGAUUCUGUAUACAAUCAAUUUAUACGCUGAAGGGAGCUCACUGGUGGGACAUCACCAGGACCUCAUUUAUAUUCUUAAAUUUAUGAGGAAAAUGACAGAAUAGCAGUAAUAGUAUUUGCUAAUGAUACAAAAUUACACAGAAUAGUCUUCAGAAAUUGAUUAUUAAGAGCUGCAGCAAGAUCCUAUGGUAAUGAAUACAAAAGGCAGAUGAAAUUCAAUGCUGCUGAGGGCAAAAUAUGCAUAUGGGGAAAAAGAAGUUUAAGUAUGCCCAUUCAUUGGAUUUUUGUAGCCUAUCAGCAUGAAACUUUGGGGGAGCUGCUGCAGUGUCACACAGUGACAGCUCAGGAUGCAGCAGUGCCACAAGGUGUACACACAUUAAUAAGAAUCUUGGAAGCACUACUGGGAGAAGUUACAGUACUCUGUUUCGCAACAUGGAGGAUGUAAAUAAAGUGCAAGUUAUUUGUGUGUUCUUAAGGUCAGGAGUUCUGAAAUGAGAAGAACAAAAUAAAACUUUAUUGUCUCUCUCCUUAGAAAUGUUACUAGAAAUCUAACCUGUCCAACACACUGAAUCUAAAACCUCCACGAAACAUCAUUUUAUUUCAAUGUUUUGAAAUACAGAAAAAGAAUGUCUCUGGAAUAAAGAAGCAGGAGCCCUUGUUAUUAGAAGUAAAUAAAAAUCUUUCUUGAAAAAAUGCAGAAAGAAUAAAAAAGAAAAAAGAAAAGAAAAUUAAAAAAAAAGGAAGAGGAAAGGGGAAAAGAGAAAGGAAAAAGGGAAAAAGAAAAAAAGAAAGUGAAAAAGAAAGAAAAAGAAAGGGAAAAAGAGAAAGAAAAAGUGUUUGAAAAUGCAGAGCUCAGUUGUGAAACUGCUUUGUCUUUUGCUGAGCUUACUGACAUCUGUGAGAGUGCUCUUUAAAGCACACAGCCUUAAAAACAAUAAGGCAGUGAGAUUAAGAAAUGAGUACAAUAUUUGGCAUUUCAAUUAUUGGUAGGAAGCUACGAGACAUGAACACAAUGCUUUAGGAAAUGAAAACUGAAUUCAGGAUGUACUCCUCAUUGUUUACGCCCGAACUGUGCUGGUCUGACAGUAAAAUGUGAACUGAAACACUCCACUUCUUUUUAAGAAGCUUAUUAAGUGUUCUCUUUAGCUGAUUAAAUUAGUUUCCUUUCAGCUGUACAGCCUGCAAGCUAAAAGUCUGUGUUUAGGUUAUAGAACUUCCAUCCCGAGACAUUCAAAACGCAUGAAUCAGAAUGUCAAAAUCAUGACAUUUCGAAAUACAGCAAAACCCUGGAUUUUCUCACUUCCUGGAUUUUCUUGAGCUUGAAAAUGCCACGUUUUCCUUCUCUUCCUUCUCUCACAAGAGAGUUUUAUUGAUUUACGUACUUAUUUUUAAUGGAAUUGUGUGGCUUCGGGAGUUGAAGUCUCACUUUCUAGUCCUGGCAGACACAAAUGAAAUAGUGGUGAAUAUGAAAUUAUCCAAGACUUGUAACAGGAAAAUGAGAGCUGACAGUUGGAUGGUUGACAUUUAGGUAGUGUAAAAAGAACAGAGCCCAAAGCCUUACUCUCAGGGCUGUGUCUGUGAGGUUGGUAUGGAGUUUGUCAGCUGGACUGCUCCAGUCAAAGCACAAUACCAAGCUCCUGAAGACCACUGGUUGCUCUGUUAGUGGCCAUGACUGCAGUGUGCUGCCCAGCCUUUUACCUAUAGGCUUCUCCUAAAAGCUCUUAUUUAACUUCAGAAAAUUGUGCCCACUCAAUGCAAUUAGGAUAUAACAAACACCAACAAGGCCGUACUUUGAGAAAUCUUUCCCCUCCAGAGUUCGACUGCUUAACAAUUUUCUUUCUACAUUCCUGAAGUCAAUGCAAAUGCAAAAAUAAAAGCA